UGAGUAUCGCGUGGGUGACCCGCCCCGAAGCGAGGGAUAACAGUUCGAAAGGACUGCUAAUACCGCAUGUGUUCACGGGAGUUAGAGAGCCGUGAAAAAAGGAGAAAUCCACUUUGGGAGGGACCUGCGACCCAUCAGCUAGUUGGUAAGGUAACGGCCUACCAAGGCGACGACGGGUAGGGGGCCUGAGAGGGUGGCCCCCCACACUGGCACUGAAACACGGGCCAGACACCUACGGGUGGCAGCAGUAGGGAAUAUUGCACAAUGGGCGCAAGCCUGAUGCAGCAACGCCGCGUGCGCGAUGAAGGCCUUCGGGUCGUAAAGCGCUUUUCUGGAGGAGGAGGAAGGACCGUACUCCAGGAAUAAGUCUCGGCUAACUACGUGCCAGCAGCCGCGGUAAAACGUAGGAGACAAGCGUUAUCCGAAUUUACUGGGCGUAAAGCGCGUGCAGGUGGUUGGGUAAGUUGAAUGUGAAAUCUCCUGGCUCAACUAGGAGAGGCUGUUCAAGACUGCCUGACUAGAGGACGGUAGAGGGAGGUGGAAUUCCCGGUGUAGUGGUGAAAUGCGUAGAUAUCGGGAGGAACACCUGUGGCGAAAGCGGCCUCCUGGACCGUACCUGACGCUCAGACGCGAAAGCUAGGGGAGUGAACGGGAUUAGAAACCCCGGUAAUCCUAGCCGUAAACGAUGUGGACUGGGUGUCGGUGGGGCAAAAGCCAUCGGUGCCGAAGCCAACGCGAUAAGUCCACCGCCUGGGGACUACGGCCGCAAGGUUAAAACUCAAAGGAAUUGACGGGGGCCCGCACAAGCAGCGGAGCGUGUGGUUUAAUUCGAUGCUACACGAAGAACCUUACCCGGGUUUGACAUACAGGUAGUAGGGAAGCGAGAGCAGACCGACCCUUCGGGGAGCCUGUACAGGUGCUGCAUGGCUGUCGUCAGCUCGUGUCGUGAGAUGUCCGGUUAAGUCCGGUAACGAGCGCAACCCUCGCCGUAUGUUAGGUAUGUCAUACGGGACUGCCGGUAUCAAGCCGGAGGAAGGUGGGGAUGACGUCAAGUCAGCAUGGCCUUUAGGUCCGGGGCUACACACACGCUACAAUGGCCGGUACAAUGGGUCGCAAAGCCGCGAGGUAGAGCCAAUCCCCAAAGCCGGUCUCAGUUCAGAUUGCAGGCUGCAACCCGCCUGCAUGAAGCCGGAGUUACUAGUAACCGCGCGUCAGCAUUAGUGCGGUGAAUACGUUCCCGGGCCUUGUACGCACCGCCCGUCACGUCAUGGGAGCUGGUAACACCUGAAGCCGGUAGCCGAACCGCAAGGAAGGCGCUGUCGAAGGUGGGACUGGUGACUGGGACGAAGUCGUAACAAGGUA
rnacentral:rRNA from 1 species